rnacentral:rRNA from 1 species
CCUACGGGAGGCAGCAGUGAGGAAUAUUGGUCAAUGGACGCAAGUCUGAACCAGCCAAGUAGCGUGCAGGAUGACGGCCCUCCGGGUUGUAAACUGCUUUUAGUUGGGAAUAAAAGGGGGCUCGUGAGCCCCGUAUUGUAUGUACCAUCAGAAAAAGGACCGGCUAAUUCCGUGCCAGCAGCCGCGGUAAUACGGAAGGUCCGGGCGUUAUCCGGUUUUAUUGGGUAUAGGGGGCGCGUAGGCCGGCUUUUAAGUCAGCUGUGAAAGUCCGCGGCUCAACCGUAGAAUUACAGGUGAAACGGGAGGCCUUGAGUGCACACAGGAAUGCGAAAAUACAGGGUGUAGCGGUGAAGUGCAUAGAU